UAGUAGCACGGGAACUCCAGAUGGUUGCAAAUCUACAGAUGCAUGAGGCAAUGAAACAGUAUCUUCAGUGGGCUUCAAUGGAACAGUUUUAUCAACCUUCUCAGUUGCUGUUAGUAGCACGGGAACUCCAGAUGGUUGCAAAUCUACAGAUGCAUGAGGCAAUGAAAUAUUAUCUUCAGUGGGCUUCAAUAGAACAGUGUUAACCACCUG
rnacentral:lncRNA from 1 species